rnacentral:lncRNA from 1 species
UGCCUCUGCAUCCUGAGUGAUGAAGGGUAUGUGCUACCGUGCCCAACCUAUCAUUAAUUUCUUAAAUUGUUUGUUUUAUUUAUGGAUGUGUGUAUGUCAGUUUAAGUAUAUGGCAUGUUUAUGCUGCUGUCUAAAGAGGCCAGAAGAGGACAUCAGAUCCCCUGGAGCGCGAGUUAUGGGACAGUUAGUUAUAAGCCAUACAAUGUGGCUGCUGGGAACUGAACUCGGCUCCUGUGCAAGUGUUCCUAACCACUGAGCCCAUCUCCUGCUCCCAAGCUCCCUUGGCACACAUUUCUCUCUCUCAGGCAUCUGUACUUGUCUGUCCUUCCCCUAAGACAUUCUUCUUUAUAGCAGCAUGCUCCCUCCCUCUCCUUGCCUCCUGUGGUUCAUAGUCACCUUCUCAGUAACCUCUCCUCCCUCAUGACCACACUACUUAAAACUGUCCCCAACCUUCUUCAUCCUCCUCUCUUUUAUUUAGAGCACCCUUCUGCCACCAGGGGUCAUCUUUUGCCUCAUUUGCUAUAUGUCACCUCCACUGAGGCUUGUUCAGUGUGCCACCCCAGCACCCAGACAGGACCAGGCACUUAGUGGUUGCCCAAGAGAUUUUUGUUUGUUUGAAAUAGGGCCUCACGUAUUCAUGUAGCCCAGGCUGUUCUUGAAUUCAUUGUAUAAUUAAGGUGACCUUGAACCUGGGGUUUCAGGUGUGCGCUGCUCUGUUUUUCAGAGGUGCUUAGAGAUCAGGCUUGGUGCUGGAGGUGUGCUCAGGCUCGGGGAUGGAGGUGUGCUCAGGCUGAGUGCUGGAGGUGUGCUCAGGCUGAGUGCUGGAGGUGUGCUCAGGCUCGGGGCUGGAGGUGUGCUCAGGCUGAGUGCUGGAGGUGUGCUCAGGCUGAGGGCUGGAGGUGUGCUCAGGCUGAGUGCUGGAGGUGUGCUCAGGCUCGGGGCUGGAGGUGUGCUCAGGCUCGGGGCUGGAAGUAUGCUCAGGCUGAGGGCUGGAGGUGUGCUCAGGCUGAGGGCUGGAGGUGUGCUCAGGCUGAGUGCUGGAGGUGUGCUCAGGCUGAGUGAUGGAGGUGUGCUCAGGCUGAGUGCUGGAGGUGUGCUCAGGCUCGGGGCUGGAAGUGUGCUCAGGCUGAGUGCUGGAAGUGUGCUCAGGCUCGGGGCUGGAAGUGUGCUCAGGCUCUGCUGGAGGUGUGCUAGACAAGCAUGCUACCAAGUGAGCUAAGCAAUGGAAUUUUUAAAAUAUAUACAUAAGCAGAGACUAUAUAUUGUUUUGUUUGUUUUUUGUUUUUUUGUUUUUUUGUUUUUUUUUUUUUUGUUUUUGUUUUUGUUUUUUUUUUGAAACAGGGUCUCACUGUGUAGUUCUAGCUGUCCUGGAACUCACUCUGCAAACCAGGCUGGCCUCAAACUCACAGAGAUCUGCCCGCCUUGGUCUCCCAAGUGCUGGGAUUAAAGUAGUGUGCCACUACGCCUAACUGACAAUAUUUUAAAGGAUCCAAAUGUGCCUUAUAAGCUUAGAUUCCAGAGGAGAAAAUUAAACGUAUCCAGCAAAUUUUCCUCCCAAAAGGCAAAUAUAACAAGGCUCUCUUCUCAAGCAUAGGGGCCCAGGUGCCUGCAAUUGUCCAUCGGAACAUGCAUGGGCCUGUCUUUGCCUGAGCUAUGGGAUUACAAGACACAGGUGAGGUUGCAGGAGCUGGUCUUUUCUGAUUGACAGAGACAGGCAAAGAGAGCCACGGGAGACCUCGGGAGAAGGUUGGGUUGAGAAGUACACAUGGGUGCGGUCACACAUUGUUUUACUCAGCUCAAAACUACCUCCUAAUUGUUAAUGUAGACUAAAUGGAACCCAUAUACACUGGACACAAACAGGGGACCAGUUUUGCAUUUAGAAAAGCUCCAAGUCAGUUUUUAAACAAUAAAUUUAUUGAGAUUUGCAUACCACAAAAAUCCAUGCUUUUCAUGAGGUCAGCUAAGUGGUUUUCGAAAGGUUGUGCCGCCAUUACUACCCUCUAGAUUUAUGACAUUGUCAUCAGCCCAUUGGUAGUCACAUCCCGUUUCUCCUGCCCCCGACCUUUUCUCUGUGUUCUAGACUUAUCCCAGGUAGACACAGGGUCUUUGUGAUCGGCUUCUUCCAUGUGGCGUGAUGUUUCAAGGUACAUCCAUCUGUGUUGUAGCAUCUUUCAGCAUUCAUCUCUUGCUUAUGACCAAGUAUUAACCCACUGCGUGGACGGAUAUACCGAGUCUUGUUUAUCUAUUCACUUGUCAAUGAACCUGUGGGCUUUUUUUCUGUCUUUCAAUCACCAGCAAGCCAUCUGAAAUGUAACGAAAUGCUUGGUGUUGGUGGUGAGUUUUACAAAAAAUGGAGGCAACCCUGACAGUUGGUGCAAUGCUCUGGAGAUAGCGGGUACGUCUACCUAGGUCAUUGUCUUUCUGGUCUGCUAUGAUGUGUUUCUGUGUGUCGAUCAAGUAUAAAUGGUUGACCUUGCAACCUGAGAGCUUCCUCACGAAACAGCAGAGUCCCCUUAAGCCCCUCUUCUUUCUAGCCUUGUCUUCAGUCUGCUGUGAUGUCAGGAUGUCCUCUCUCCUGUCCUGCACCAUUCACUGUGGCUUUCUGUGAAUGCUGGCUGGCUCAGCGUCUGGGAGUUGGGAGCCCUUUGCCAUGUAACUGGAGAGGAUGGGAGCUGUGAAUGGGAGCUCCUGCUUGGGUGUGCAGUGGUCUGUGCAGGCGGGGUGGUGGGGAUCAGGUUUAAAUCAUUGCCAAGCUUGGUUUACUCCCAUUAUUGCUUCUGAAAGCACAAGGCUGACCUCACU